UUAUCUGCGGAGGGUUCCUGGUGGCAAAGAACUUCGUGCUGACGGCCGCUCACUGCAAUGGAGAUGAGAUAUCUGUCCAGCUGGGAGCCCAUAACAUUAAUGAACAGGAACAGAGCCAACAGAAAAUCUCCGUGCGCCACCGGAUCCCCCACCCGCAGUACAACGAUGCAACCACCAACAAUGACAUCAUGCUGCUGCAGCUGGCAGAGAGA